rnacentral:rRNA from 1 species
UACGGGAGGCAGCAGUGGGGAAUUUUGGACAAUGGGGGCAACCCUGAUCCAGCCAUUCCGCGUGAGUGAAGAAGGCCUUCGGGUUGUAAAGCUCUUUCGCAAGGGAAGAAACGUUACGAGCGAAUAACUCGUGAUAAUGACGGUACCUUGAUAAGAAGCUCCGGCUAACUACGUGCCAGCAGCCGCGGUAAU